rnacentral:rRNA from 1 species
CCGACGGUGAGGGAUGAAGCCUAGGGGCACGAACCGGAUUAGAUACCCGGGUAGUCCUAGGUGUAAACGCUGUGGACUUGAUGUUGGGGGUGCUCCGAGCACUCUCAGUGUCGAAGCGAAGGUGAUAAGUCCACUGCCUGGGAAGUACGGUCGCAAGGCUGAAACUUAAAGGAAUUGGCGGGGGAGCACCGCAACCUGAGGAUUGUGCGGUUUAAUUGGAUUCAACGCCGGAAAACUCACCAUAGCCGACGGACAAAUGAAGGUCAGUGUAAUGAACUUACCGGAUUGUUCGAGAGGUAGUGCAUGGCCGCCGUCAGUUCGUACCGCAAGGCGUUCUGUUAAGUCAGAUAACGAACGAGACCCUCAUCUCUAUUUGCUAACUGGAUCUCCGGAUCCAGUGCACUAUAGGGAGACCGCUGGCGCUAAGUCAGAGGAAGGGGAGGGCAACGGUAGGUCAGUAUGCUCCGAAUGCUAUGGGCUACACGCGCAAUACAAAGGACAGGACAAUGGGCUGCUGCUCCGAAAGGAAUGAUAGCUAUCCCGAAACCUGUUCGUAGUUCGGAUUGAGGGCUGUAACUCGCCCUCAUGAAGCUGGAUUAGGUAGUAAUCGCGUCUCAAAAAGGCGCGGUGAAUAUGCCCCUGCUCCUUGCACACACCGCCCGU